CAGAGAUUGAUCAGAGGAGCUCUAAAUUCUCCGGGCAUUUUGCACUCCCGUGAAACAGCAAGCCUUCUGGUAGUGACAUUUAGGUUGUGGCAGUCCUAGCUAUGGGAGCUGGUACACAAUUGCCUCCCUCCUUGGGGCUUAUUUGGGUGUUUUUUUGUUUUUGUUUUUGUUUUUCUUUGGCUGUCACAGAUCUUGAGCUUUAGAAACACUAGAACUCCUGUGGGUUGUCUCUGGUGCCACUUUGAUAACCCAAGUAAGGUAGAAUUAGUUAUCAGCCUAGACAAAGUAAAAUGAUUUUUGGCUUACAUGAAUGUUAUUUGAUCCCACAUCUGUUUUUAGAAGUGAUGUCCCUGUCUGUGCAGUAUCCUGGUGACACUUCAACCUAUAGGCAGGAGGAAGGAAAAUGUGGGCUGCCAUUUGGAGGAAGAACUGGAAACCAGACACUCCUAUUUGGAUCCAUUUAGGAUGCCGGUGUGUUUGUGCUGAUUCCAGACUUGGAAACUGGGGUACUUUUUCAAAGAGAGUUUUCAGAGGGACUCAGAGAGGAGCCCGGGAGCAGAACAGGGUCCAUUUGUUUCACCUGGAGAAUGACAUUAGUGUGAGGAGGAAAAUGAGCUGCAGAAGGAUCAAAUGACCUGCCUGAGGUGCCCUAUCUGUUGGCACAGGCCAGAGCACAUGGUGGAUGCAGGGGCACCCCCUUCCCUUCUCCUCCCCUCCGGCUCUUUGCUGACAGGAUUCUCUCUUGCCUUCUCUGAUGGUACCUGUGCUACGUGCCACAUCCUUUCCCUCAAUGAAUUUCAGGCAGUGGAAGGGGCCGCAGAAGUUCCUUGACUCAUGAGGCGAGGCAUUCAGCGGCCUCGUGACACCUCCCAGGAUCUGCAGUCAUUGGGCUGCACUUGCCAAUAGCAACACCUGGCAAAAAUAGCUAAGAAGCAGAGCGGCCUGGGCUCAGGAGCUGAGCAACCCCUGACUGGCCAGAUGGAGACUGUGUUGAGCUCUGCCCAAGCCCUGUGAUCCUGGAAAACAGUGAAGUUAAGGAGCCAUCUGCAUUCUAGGGAAUGGCCCACUGCAAAAAAUAGCCUUCCUUAUAGGACGUAGAGGACUCAUGAUGUCCCCUCAUUUAUGAUGAGCCAACACACAGCCCUUCCAAAUUCCGAUUCUUUGCUUCAUAACUGAUGAGCUGUUUUGUUCCCACUGGUCAAUCGGAACAACAUUCUUGCUAACCAGAUUUUGGUUCAGCUCUUCUCCCUCCCCAUGUACCUGCCCUGUGUCCUGUCCUCAUCCUGAGCCAGCACACACCCCUCCUUAGUAGCUCCUCCUGCAGCAGGCUGACCUCGGACUCUCCCUGAUCCAUUGUCCAAAUAUAUCACCCUUUCACCCUACAUCCUCACACCCCAUUCUUUCUAGUUUUGUUCAUUCCUCCCUGUGAAAGAUGAACCCUCUUUGCCUAACCCCGGACCUGCUUGCAGACUGCUAUGAUGGCCAGAGUGUCCCCCCUACUGCAAGAGUCCCUUCUGUCCCUUGCAACAUCUUUUAAAUAAAAUCUCU
rnacentral:lncRNA from 1 species